AUGCAGGUGAUGGAUUAUUUAUACAUCCUGGAGAUACCCAAGAAGCACAUAGUGAAGAGGUGGACAAGAAACGCGCGAGAUGUCCUGCCUAUGGCAGCAAGCCAAGGAGCUGCUAGUGCAGAGGCCUAUGAUGGGUCGAUGGGGUUAUUCAAGGAAAAUGUGCCACCAUACGGAGAAGCAAGAGAUGGCCCAGGGCUUAAGGAUCGACCAACCUCAAGAAGGCUAACGGCGAAUGAAAGACCAGGUGAUUGCUCUGGACAGAACAAUGAUACAAUCUUGACAUCACAAGACCAACUAGUCAGAUUAGCUACUCCUUGUAAGAAACCUAAACCCGGAAGGCCAACAGCAUUACAGCAAGUACCAAGCAGGGAGGAAGCACCGUAUGAGAUGAGCAAAGGAACUUGCCCGGAGAGAGGUGACUUGCCAAAGCAGGGGAGGUAUACUAAUUGUGGUGUUGCUGGACACCUCAGGACCACUUGCUCUGAGCCCUCCCGGCUACAAAAUUAG
rnacentral:rRNA from 1 species